UACGGAGGAUCCGAGCGUUAUCCGGAUUUAUUGGGUGUAAAGGGUGUGUAGGCGGACUUGUAAGUCAGCUGUGAAAGUUUACGGCUCAACCGUGAACUUGCAUUUGAUACUGUUGGACUUGAGUAUACAUGAGGUGAGCGGAAUUUGUGGUGUAGCGGUGAAAUGCUUAGAUAUCACGAGGAACUCCAGUUGCGAAGGCAGCUUACUGGGGUAUAACUGACGCUGAUGCGCGAAGGUGUGGGGAUCAAACAGG
rnacentral:rRNA from 1 species